ensembl:lncRNA
GUAAGUAACCUGAAACUGUACUGUAAAAGGAAGCCUCGUUUGUUUCCAUGGUAUUACCAGGUUCUUACCAUAUAAUUCGUAAUACGUUAUUCCCUUUUCCAUGCAGUCAACACAAACUUGUACCAUGUACGUUCUGCGACGUUACCAAGUAAAACCCGACAAUUUACCCGGUAAGUAACCUGAAACUGUACUGUAAAAGGAAGCCUCGUUUGUUUCCAUGGUAUUACCAGGUUCUUACCAUAUCAUUUGUAAUACGUUAUUCCCUGUUCCAUGCAGUCAAAACAAACUUGUAC